rnacentral:rRNA from 1 species
UACGUAGGUCGCAAGCGUUGUCCGGAUUUACUGGGCGUAAAGAGCGCGCAGGCGGCUGGUCAAGUCCGAUGUGAAAUCUCCCGGCUCAACUGGGAAACUGCAUCGGAAACUGAUCGGCUUGAAGAUGGGAGAGGGUAGUGGAAUUCCCGGUGUAGUGGUGAAAUGCGUAGAUAUUGGGAGGAACACCAGUGGCGAAGGCGACUACCUGGCCCAUUCUUGACGCUGAGGCGCGAAAGCUAGGGGAGCGAAC